rnacentral:lncRNA from 1 species
UUGGUCAAUAAUUAAUUAAGAAUUAAUUUUGUGAUCAAGUGUAAUUAAUUAAACUAGAGGGGCUGAAUUGUAAUUAUGUGAUAGUUACAAAAUAAGGUAAGGAUUAUCUUAUAUAUAUGGUGAACAAAUUUGAGGUGUAAAUCCCUUAGAAUUCGACUAGGAUAAGGGUUUCUAAGACUUAUCUUAUGGUUGCUUGGUGGGCAAGCAACUAGAUAAGGAUAAGGACUAAAACCCUAAUCUUUACACCUAUAUAAACCCCCUAAGGCUUAGGAAUUCGUCCAACCCUUCCCAAGAGGUCUCAAGGACGAAUUCUAACCUCCAUCCUCUCUCUUUAUACCUUCUCCAUUUGCUCUUGGUGUUUGUAAGCCAUUAGAGUAGUGACACUUGUGACUCUAAGCCUUCCAUAGUCAGUUCAAGGAGGAAUUGGGAUUGUUAUUACUACAUAACAAUCAAGGUAACUUUAUAGACCUAUUCUAAUAUCUAAUAUGAUUACUUGUAUGCUAGAAUUAGGGUUUAUAGUCUUGGAUUCAAAGCAUGUACAAUAGAGAAACCUAGAUCCAAGCAUUAGGGUUUGUAUGAGCACAUAGGAUGUCUUAUGACCAAAACCCAUCAGUGGUAUCAGAGCCUAGAUUGGUUUCUAUUGUAUUGAUGCUUGAUAUGUUUGAAAAUUUCGAAUUUUGUGUUUCUGGAGGCUGGACUCGCCGAGUCCAUAGAUGAACUCGCCGAGUCCAAGGUGACUCGACGAGUCCAUGCCUGACUCGACGAGUCGGCUCGUCAGAUGGAGGGUACUCCGGGAUUUCUUGCUGUUUUUGCUUAUGGAUAGUUACCUUAUCAUGUUAGAUCAAUAUUAAUCCGAUUAUAUGAUAUAUUUGACUAUAAUUUUGAUCUAAUUGAAGAUAUUUAUCAAUUAAUAAGAUAAUUGUUUCCUUAUAAGAUAAUUGAUUAAUUAUUUUAAGUAAAUUGAUAAAUUAUUUUGCAAGAAAUCAUCAAAUAUGGAUAAUUAUGUGAUUAAAUGUUAAUUUGAAUUAUUUGUUAUUUGAUCCUUGUUGUUGUGAAAAGUUUCAUAUUUGGCCCUUUAGGUUUUAUAGUUUAAAUUUGAACCCCAAAAGUUUUGUUGUUUUGAAAUUUAAAUAGUUGAAACCCUAAUGUUUUGAAAAAGGUUUCAAAACUUGCCCUCAAGUUUUGGAAUUUAAAUUUUGAUUAAUUGUUUAAUUUUGAUGUAUAUUUAAAUUCUAAACCCUAAUGUUUUGAAAUGUUUCAAAACUUGCCCUCAAGUUUUGGAAUUUAAAAGUUGAUUAAAAGUUUAAUUAGGAAUGUUAAAUUCUAAAACCCUAGUAUAGUUUUGAAAAAGUUCAAAUCACACCCUUAUGGUUUUAUUAAUUAAUUAAGGUGUAUAAUUAAAAGAGGUUUAAUAAAUCCAUAAAAGUUUAGGUUUACAAUUUAAUUGAAUUAAAAGUAUAAUUGUUAAAUUAGACCACCUAGUAUUUUGAAAGUAUAAAAUACACCCUAUACUAUAUAUAACAUUAAAAGUCUAACAUUAUAUAUAUGUAUGAGUAAAAGUCAGUCUUACCGUUAGUAGGCCUCAUUCACGAAGCUGGUCUAUAAGGGGUGUUUAAGGAAAUUGCCUAUAAAAUGGCGAUUGAAUGGGUAUCCACUCUUACCCACCGCACUCUUGACUAGUGGAGGGUCGUUAGCCGAACGGGUAGGAUAGGACGAAACCUUCCAUUAUAAGUAUAAUGAAUUAUUAAAGUAACUAAAUGUUUUCAUAAAAUUCCCAAUCUUAGUUACUUAGGCAAAAGUGAAUUGAUGCAAUUCCAUGAAAUUACACUUUGUGCCCUUGCGAAGACGUUAGUGGAGCGUGUGUGGUUUACCGGCACACUAAAUGGUUCUAAGCAAAGGUAGCAAAGGGUGACUCAAUGUUUGUCAUAGUUCGGUGGAGCGUGUGUGGUUUACCGGCACAUCGAAUAGGUGACUGUAACAUGUGAGGGCACCAUGUAAGUUUGCAUGGUUAUUCACACCCGCUUUGUGAUCCUCGGCAUCCCAGUCACAAACAAGAGGGGCAUAUCGAGAUUUAAACAUGCCAUUGAAAGUUCAAUGAAUCUCAAAGGAUCUAGGAGUUUUCAUAGAUUUAAAACUUAAAUUUCUUUUUCGUUUUUCAUGGUGGAAAUUAGUGAAUCGUCAUUCACUUACCUUCAAAUAUUCUGCAAUUAGGGUUACGGCAUCCCUCUCCCGAGUUGUAGAAUAUUGUGUUGGGUCCUAGCCUUAGUAUCUCAUUUGGGUGAUUUACUAAGGACUCAAUCAAUCAACUAACUUGAAUUCGUUUUCUCCCGUUUUGUAGAUGUCAAAGUUCGACAACUAUGGUCUUCCCAAAUCCCGUGGAACAAGCAUUCCACAUGAAGAUGAUAUUCCACGAUUCGAUCGAGGAACAAGAAAUCAUGCUUCACUUCCUCCUCCUCCUCCAAUUAUUCUCCCUAACCCACAAGUUCAAAGGCUUGAAAAGUUCAAGAUCACUCAAGCCCUUUUGGCAAGUAAACAUAAAGAAGGAAAGUCGGUGUGUGCACACGUCCUAGGGAUGAAGUCACACAUUGAUAGGUUAAGAAUGUUGGGAUCCGUUGUCUGUGAGGAAAUGGCUGUUGAUUGGGUUCUUCAGUCACUUCCUAACUCAUAUAGUGAGUUCGUAAGAGAGUACUAUAUGAUGAACCGCGACGUGACCCUUAUAGAUCUCACCUAUAUGCUUAUUGCUGCUGAAUCAGCAAUGGUUUGGCGCAAUAGAAAAGCAAAGUUGAUUGGUGAAUCUGCCUUCAAGACCUCUAUGGAUAUAGACAAUGGCAACGAAAGACAUGCUAUGAUCGAAAAGUUUGAUCAUAAGAGAAAGGCAAUGUCUGAAGUAGUUCCAUGUCAUGUUCCAAAAGAGUCAAUUUGCUUUUAUUGCCAAGAGAAAGGGCAUUGGAGACGAAGCUGCCCCAUUUACCUAAGAGAUCUAAGAGAUGGGAGAGUCGAAACGUAUGGCUCUAAUAUAGGUAAAAUCCAUUAACUAACUCUUUUAAGCUUCUAUUCUAGAUUCUUAAUACAUAAUGUGAUAAGAUUACAAUUGAUGUUUUGUAGGAUCGAAGAAAAGAAAGGAAGCUUAAGGGAAGAAGUGAGCAGAAUCUAACCGUGAAGGAAUGGAUUUCGAUCGCAUUUCUCGAAGAUUAGAUUCUUGAGCUACUACUUAGAGUUAGAAUUAGAUUGCUAAGAAAGAUGUAUUAGCAUAGUUUUUCAAUGAAUUGCAUUGUAAGGACAAAUUUUUUCCGCAAUAAAAUAAAUUUUGAUUUUAUAUUAUUUAUUUAUCCUUGCAAUGGCGUAUAUGAAAAAUUGAUGUUUGAAUGUUUCUAUUAUUAGCAAUAAUGGAUUUGGUUCUUAUUAUGUUAUUUAUGGAAAGUCGAGAGUUUACCAAAUAGGGAGAGUUUCUCAUCGCCCAAGUUUCAAUUGGACAGAAACUUGGAAUCAUGCAACUUGGUUGCACGAUGAAUGAGAAAUUUCAUAUUUGGAAAUUAGACUAAUUCAUUGACAAAGUGUCAAGUGAAGGACUAGGAGAUCGAGUACACAAAGUUGCGUGUUGAUCAAGUCCACCAUAAGAGUAACAAAGAUAUUCGUCAUGAUUUACUAAAGGUUUAGUAAAUAUGAUUAUACUUACAAGAUUAAGUGUAAUUCUGAAUUGAUUGAAAAAGUUUAAAUCAAUAGCAGAACGAAUAAGAAGAAUCAAGUAGGCAGAAAGAUAAAAGUUUCUCCAUUCUAAGAAGAAGGGAGAGUACCUUUUAUGCUUUAUGAUAGGUCUUAAUGAUUAAGAACCAUAUCUCAAUUGAUCCUCUAAGUGAGUCUUAGUACAAUUGUAUGUCUAAGAAGAGGAAUCAAGAAUUGAAGAAAUGGUUAAAUCAAGAAGUCAAUCAUACUUCGUUCCAAAACAAGUCUUAGAGUUAAGAUUGUGACAUUGAGUGAAAAGUAUUAAGAAGGUUUAUAGCAUUCAUCAAAUGUGGAAAGUUGUGAUGUCUUGGAUAAGACAAAGACCAACUAGGACCAAUUUAUGAAGUGUUUUGAUAAAAACUACACUAACUCUUGAAUAUUUGUUUGUCAAGAAAUGUUUAUUGACAAGAGAAUCUUAUAUGUCAAGGAGUCAGUGGGAGUCUUAAUGGUCUUGAAAGGUUUCAAGAACAAAUCAAAAAAACCUUAUCGAUCAUCACUAGCACACGAGUUGAGGUUUACAACCUAUCGUGUUGACAUUAUUUUGUUUCUGUGCCAUUCCAAUUGAGUUAAUUAUGCAUGUGAGUUCUAUGAGUUCUCAUUUGAACGCAUAAAAGGCAAGGACCUUGAUCAAUGAAAAGUACAUUGAUAGGAAAAGGUGAGCUGCUUAACUACUUGGAAGACAUGGUGGGCAGCUGUGCUACCAUAAGGCAAGAAAUCAAGAUUAAGAAAGUUCGGUCCAUAUGAGUUUGAAUUUGUCGUAAACUUUGGUUUUGACAAAUUCACAUGGAUAGGAACACAUACACCAUUAAAAUCUAAGUGUCAUAAGAUUCCCUCCUUCAUGAAAAUGACUGUGAGGAAAUGCUUUCACUAAGAGAGAUUUUAAGAAGAUAGUGAUUGUAAAAUUGCAUUCUCGAAUUCGAUUAUGGUUACGGUAUCCCUUUCCAUAAUUUGAAUUGUGAGGUUUGGCAAUUAGUCUUAAUUGUUUAGACACACAUAUGAACUAUCGAAGGCAAAGGUGUAUAAGUUCAAGAAGCCUUGAUAAAGGAUUAUCAAAGCACUAAGUAUUAGAAACAUGAACUUAAGAAAUUCAAUAAGUAUUGUUUUUCUGAAAGUUAAGAUGUUUAUGAAUACAUGUCGAAGCUAGUGGGAGCAUAAGUGUUAUGUUUUAUAAUAAUCAUCAUGAUAGUGGGAGCAUAAAUGUUAUGAUUGUAUGAUUAUUAAGGCAAGUAUUGCAAGUUAGCAAUAUUAAUUAUAGAAAACAAGAGUUAUACUUUGCAAAGUCGUAAGGGUUGAAAAGUUGUUUUGCUAUAAUUAAGGGAGAGAAUAUUAUGCUUCAUUUCAAAUCUAAAGGCUUAGGUUGAGGAAUGUUAAUAAAUUUAGUCAAGGAUACAUAGUGUGUUCUUAAAAUUCGAUUAUGAUUACGACAUUCCUCUUCACAAUUCGAAUUUUGAGAACAUAGCAAAUAAAACAUUAUGGGACGUGUCCCAUACGCUUCGGGUAUAGGAUCGAUUGCAAAUGCUUUAAUGUUUGACCAUUCUAAAAUUUUCCAAAUGUCUAGCGCAUUUAGAGGGAAAAGGGACUAGAAUUGGUUUUGACUAAAAUAAUUAAACAACUAUCAAAGGACAAUCCAAAGUUCGACGAGGAUUGGUCGCUUGUGAGUAGUUGGAAGUAUAGUAUUGGAAAAUAUGGAAAUGUUUCCAUAUUGGAUGGACCAUAUCGACAUCAUUACGAAUAGAUAAGAUUCUAUUAAGAAUGAGUUGUCAUAUGGAACAUAUGGAAGUGUGUCCAUAUUGGGAAUUGAAUAUUGAGAAAUCUAUGACUAGAUUAGAAACUUCUAUGCAAAAGGAUGUUCAAAGAAUGUACUUUGAGUGAGAGACAUCACGUCUAUGGAAUUGUCUUGUAACAAUCUCCGAUAGAGGACUUUGUAAUAUCAUUGGCAAUAGUCUUUGUGACUUUGGUGCAGUGACAUUACGAAAGGAUAGUUGCAUAGAAUGUUAGAAUCUAGCAUAUUCUAUAAGUAGCAAGAAUUUGAUAUUCUUUCACUUAUGAAAAAGGAUUUGGAGUUGUGAAAUGAGAAUGAUUGGAAAUGUGUUCAAUGUGAUCUAUUUCACAAAGUAAGAACCAUAGGUAAACAUUGUGUGCAUGCUAGGAGCAUGGGACAAGUGUUGUAAUUCAAGUAAGAAGUUGAUUACCCGAAACGACAAAUAAUGAGUAAUCAAUAUGGUGAUAAAUAAAAGGUGUUUUAUUUAUACUCAAAGGUUUGAGGCCAUAUGGGAUUAGUAUUAUUCUUGUGUUUCACAUUUGCAUGUUUUGACUUCCAGAAUAAUUGAGUUUAUUAAGAAUAAUCGAAUUAUUCAAACGGGCCACAGUCGUUCAUAUGUUGGAAGUAGAUAUGAAUGAAGACUGUCGUGAAUUGGUGUGUGGAUUGUCUAAAAGAGUAUUAGACAUAAGCAAAUGUUUGCUGCAACGUUCAUGAGUGCUUAUGAAUAUGAUUUGAGCAUUGGAUUAAACCCACGCUCACUUGGAUCACUCCAUGAAUUGUAUCACGAGUGAUUGGUGAGACGAUAACAUCUUAUAUUCUUGAAACCGAGAUGUGUGAGUUGUAUCUUGCAAAUCGGUUGCACAUUGAUAAUAUGUAAACGCACUAGUAACUUGGUGUUAUAAAACAUAUUGUUGUGUGUGAUUCGGUGAGUGAGUGCAAGCAAGCAUUGUAUCAAAGUUUAUCCGUUCCUUUUAUCCAAAGUAGGAUAAAAGCGAUAUCUUUGGGCCCCUCGAUGAUUUAGUGAUGACAAACGUAAAUGCUCGGCCGGGCUAGGGCUAAUUUGAUUUGUUCAAUUAGUCAGUCGUCAUAAAUCGGAAAUCGAGAUAUAGUACAAAGAGAAUGAUUUGAAAUCAUAUCUCAUAUGAUAUCUAGAAUGGAGGAAUAUAUGAUCCCUUAUCUAAGGACACGCGUAUCUGAUAUGAUCAGAGUUGACAGCGGCUUUGGAAAGCUACGAUUGCAGAUCGGGAUCCGAAGUCAUACGCAGAAUAGUUGUUAGACUUAUCCAAGUGGGAGACUGUUGGAUUAGUGUCUAAGUCCAUAACUAUUUUGGUAUGUACUUGACCCGAUGGUGCAUGGUCCUUUUGGGUUGCCUUCACCAAAGCAACUUGAUUGGAGAAAUAAAUAGAGAGAGAGGUUAUUAUGAUUUAUUAAUAUGUUAUAAGAAUAAUAUAUUAAAGGAGAAAUCAUAUUUGUUUAAUUAAUAUUGGUCAAUAAUUAAUUAAGAAUUAAUUUUGUGAUCAAGUGUAACUAAUUAAACUAGAGGGGCUGAAUUGUAAUUAUGUGAUAGUUACAAAAUAAGGUAAGGAUUAUCUUAUAUAUAUGGUGAACGAAUUUGAGGUGUAAAUCCCUUAGAAUUCGACUAGGAUAAGGGUUUCUAAGACUUAUCUUAUGGUUGCUUGGUGGGCAAGCAACUAGAUAAGGAUAAGGACUAAAACCCUAAUCUUUACACCUAUAUAAACCCCCUAAGGCUCAUGAAUUCGUCUAAGCCUUCCCAAGAAGUCCUAAGGACGAAUUCUAACCUCUCUCCUCUCUCUUUAUACCUUCUCCAUUUGCUCUUGGUGUUUGUAAGCCAUUAGAGGAGUGACACUUGUGACUCUAAGCCUUCCAAAGUCAAUUCAAGGAGGAAUUGGGAUUGUUAUUACUACAUAACAAUCAAGGUAACUUUAUAGACCUAUUCUAAUAUCUAAUAUGAUUACUUGUAUGCUAGAAUUAGGGUUUAUAGUCUUGGAUUCAAAGCAUAUACAAUAGAGAAACCUAGAUCCAAGCAUUAGGGUUUGUAUGAGCACAUAG